GACCCCUUGAACCUGAACAGUCAGUCCAUGCUGCAGAUUCCUGCGGCCUUCCCUGCCCAGUGACGUCACCAGCACGCCUGGGGCUGUGCCCUUCAUUUCAGCUCUUGUUAUCCUGAGCUAUGGUGUGUGGCUUUUAUUGCUGUUUGUCAUUGUCACCUGUCUUGAAAACAGAGUUCAUGUCUUCUUAUAGUUCUGCCUCAGCUCAGGACGGCUCUGCACAUGACUUAGGCAGCAUCCGCCCACACAGUCAGCCUGUGCAGCCUUGGGCUGGUGCUAGGGGCUCUGAGAGGCUCACCCCAGUCCCAGCUGGUGGUCUCUGUGGAUUCCCCAGCCAGAUCAGGCAGAAGUGUUUGUGGUUUGCCCUCCCUGUCUGCCCCCAGCCAGAAUUCCAACCGGGCCAGUUCUAAAAGCUGAACCGUGAGGACUCAGCCCUGCCUGGAGCAGCCUUCCCUGGAGCCUGGCUGACUGCACCCACCAGCUGUCAGCUCUGGCCUAGAAACUUGGGGGUCCUGGAGACAGCAGGUCCUGCUGCCUCCCUGUCCUCCAUUCAGCCUAAAUGUCCACCUCCUCGGGGGCCUGCCUUCAGCUCACCUGCAGACCAUAGACGUCUCCCUGCUGUGCACCCAUCCCCUGCGCUUUGGCACUCCCCACUCCGCCCCAGGUGUUCUGCAACAUCGGUAGCAUGACAGAGGGCUUCUUAGAGAGAGGGCGCCCUUGCUACCAGGGUCCACAGGCUCAGUCUCAGCCUGGUUCCUGUUUGUGGUGCCCCUUUCUCAGGCCUGUGGGGAUGUCAGGAGCUUAGGACAGUGCCUGGCUCAAGAGAUGUGGCUACCUUCCCUCCUGCUUUCGGUACUCAGCGCAGGCAGGGUUCAGUGCAGCAAGUAACAGCUGCGGGUUACUGGAUUGUCUGCAACCAUUGGCGACUGAGAGAUCCCUGCAGCCCUCCCAGACCCUCGAUCUGACUGGAGCCAGGCCCACGUGGGGAAAGGGUUAAAUGCUGGCAGUGACUUCACCCCUGCAUUGGAGCAGGCGGAGGCAGAGUAGAUAAAAAAAUCAGGACAGAGGCUGGGUGGAAUUUUCCAGCGUUCAUAAACAGGACCAGUCAGGGUUGCUAAGGGAGGUCACCAUGGAAACGGUCACGUGCGCCUGCCUCCUGGUUAUUCCACCCUGGUCAGGAGGAUGAUGCAAGCUUCGAGCCCCUUCAUUGGCUGCCACCUUCCUCUUGCCACCCAAAUCUGGUGGGAGAUUGGCCGAGGACAGUUGCUGGGCUGGAGCUAGCCUUUCCCUUUCUCCCCCAUCCCUCCCACAGGAACCUGCUGGAAGCUCUUCUGAACCAGAGAAGGAUGAAAAUAGCUGCCAAAGAUGUUGCCAUAGCAACUGCUUUCCUUCCUGACCUCCUUGGAAGGUGAACUCCCUCAUUUUCCAGAGUAGUCAAGGAAUUUCUGUGCCUCUACCCAUGGCUUUGGUUACCAA
rnacentral:lncRNA from 1 species